rnacentral:rRNA from 1 species
GUAACAAGGUUUCCGUAGGUGAACCUGCGGAAGGAUCAUUGAUAGUCCCGAACG